CCUACGGGAGGCAGCAGUGGGGAAUAUUGCACAAUGGGGGAAACCCUGAUGCAGCGACGCCGCGUGAGUGAAGAAGUAAUUCGUUACGUAAAGCUCUAUCAGCAGGGAAGAAAGAAAUGACGGUACCUGACUAAGAAGCCCCGGCUAACUACGUGCCAGCAGCCGCGGUAAUACGUAGGGGGCAAGCGUUAUCCGGAUUUACUGGGUGUAAAGGGAGCGUAGACGGCGAUGCAAGUCUGAAGUGAAAGGCGGGGGCCCAACCCCCGGACUGCUUUGGAAACUGUAUGGCUGGAGUGCAGGAGAGGUAAGUGGAAUUCCUAGUGUAGCGGUGAAAUGCGUAGAUAUUAGGAGGAACACCAGUGGCGAAGGCAGCUUACUAAACUGCCACUGACAUUGAUGCUCGAAAGUGUGGGUAUCAAACAGGAUUAGAUACCCGGGUAGUC
rnacentral:rRNA from 1 species